rnacentral:lncRNA from 1 species
CCCUGAAGAAUUCCAAACUCAAAACACCCUACCCCUGAAGAAUUCCAAACUCAAAAUCCUUUACCCCUGAAGAAUUCCAAACUCAAAACACCCUACCCCUGAAGAAUUCCAAGCUCAAAACACACUACCCCUGAAGAAUUCCAAGCUCAAAACACCCUACCCCUGAAGAAUUCCAAGCUCAAAACACUUUACCCCUGAAGAAUUCCAAGCUCAAAACACUGUACCCCUGAAGAAUUCCAAGCUCAAAACACUUUACCCCUGAAGAAUUCCAAGCUCAAAACACCCUACCCCUGAAGAAUUCCAAACUCAAAACACUUUACCCCUAAAGAAUUCCAAACUCAAAACACUCUACCCCUGAAGAAUUCCAAACUCAAAACACUUUACCCCUAAAGAAUUCCAAACUCAAAACACUCUACCCCUGAAGAAUUCCAAACUCAAAACACUUUACCCCUGAAGAAUUCCAAGCUCAAAAUCCUUUACCCCUGAAGAAUUCCAAACUCAAAACACUCUACCCAUGAAGAAUUCCAAACUCAAAACACCCUACCCCUGAAGAAUUCCAAACUCAAAACACUUUACCCCUGAAGAAUUCCAAGCUCAAAAUCCUUUACCCCUGAAGAAUUCCAAACUCAAAACAC